UGCAGGAUCAAACAGGUAGCAUUCCUUAGUGACAUCGGGCCGCAAGACGUUAAACUUCUAUACGACACCGAACGUCAUUCGAAUCGGGCGUGUAAUGCCAAUUUUUGGGCAAAUAGAGGUCGAAGACCCCGUACCCGUAGCAUUUUCUGCAUCCCAAGGGUCAAUGAAAAUCGUGGGCCGUGAUUACAAGGCAUUGCGCAUGCAAUUAGGAACACGAAUUUCACUUUGAUGUUCACCCGAAGCCGCACCGUGCAACAGUACAGCGGUGGGCGAACGUGGGACAAUCGACCGACGAAUUCCAUCUACGUAGGUAUGCAACACAGGAAACCAGUCACUCGGCCAAGGCUAAAAUAGCUAAUGUGCCAACGAUGAAGAGGAAUACACGAGAGGAC
rnacentral:misc_RNA from 1 species